AUUGAACGCUGGCGGCAGGCCUAACACAUGCAAGUCGAGCGAGCGGCGGACGGGUGAGUAAUGUCUGUGGAACUGCCCGAUGGAGGGGGAUAACUACUGUAAACGGUAGCUAAUACCCCAUACCAUCAGAUGUGCCCACAUGGGAUUAGCUAGUAGGUGGGGUAACGGCUCACCUAGGCGCCGCUCCCUAGCUGGUCUGAGAGGAUGACCAGCCACACUGGAACUGAGACACGGUCCAGACUCCUACGGGAGGCAGCAGUGGGGAAUAUUGCACAAUGGGCGCAAGCCUGAUGCAGCCAUGCCGCGUGUGUGAAGAAGGCCUUAGGGUUGUAAAGUACUUUCAGCGGGGAGGCGUUACCCGCAGAAGAAGCACCGGCUAACUCCGUGCCAGCAGCCGCGGUAAUUC
rnacentral:rRNA from 1 species